CAGGCAGGUUCCAGAAUGUUCUUCAGCUGGUGAUCCUUGUAUGGGGAAUGGAAGCUGGUUUAGAAAGGCUGUGGCGAUGUUGGCAGGGAUGUUGGGUUUGGGGGGGCUGUGACUCUGACUCCUUGAGGACAACCAUCUGGUCCUUUCUGCACUCCACAGUCAGGUGGACAACCGUCUGGUUCUGUCUGCACUCCCCAGCCAGGUAGACAACAGUCUGGUUCUGUCUGCACUCCCCAGCCAGGUAAACAACCGUCUGGUUCUGUCUGCACUCCACAGCCAGGUAGACAACCGUCUGGUUCUGUCUGCACUCCACAGUCAGGUAGACAACCGUCUGGUUCUGUCUGCACUCCACAGCCAGGUAGACAACCGUCUGGUUCUGUCUGCACUCCACAGCCAGGUAGACAACCGUCUGGUUCUGUCUGCACUCCACAGCCAGGUAGACAACCAUCUGGGUCUGUCUGCACUCCACAGCCAGGUAGACAACCGUCUGGUUCUGUCUGCACUCCACAGUCAGGUAGACAACCGUCUGGGUCUGUCUGCACUCCACAGCCAGGUAGACAACCGUCUGGUUCUGUCUGCACUCCACAGCCAG
rnacentral:lncRNA from 1 species